rnacentral:lncRNA from 1 species
GCACGGCACCCACCUCGGGGCAGCGGCUUCACCUCCCCGUUCUCCUCCCGGGAGGCCCCGCCGGCCUCUCGGGCCCCACCGAGACCGUGCCUCCUCCUCUCCUUCUCCCGCUUCUCCUUAGGUCUGCGCGACUUGGCGUUAGCCGAGGCAGCGGCGGCGGCGGCGGGCAGGAGGAGAUGCAAGCUGGAUUUCGGGAAUGCUCAGUUCAGAAGAGAAAAAAUUGCCGGGAAUCAAGUCCUUCUUUUUGUUAGUCGGUAGUCGAUUGAUGGGAAGUGUUCAAAAUCAUUCGAUGUGGUGACAAGGCUUCACCAGGUACUGCCUUCUAACGAGCUGGCCAUUUCCACAUGUCAGAUAGGACCAACUUGCCUUUUAACUACCCGUGUGAUACUUAAACACUGUUGCCGGUAUCACAGCUUUUCUUCAAAACAGGAAGCAACGAGAAUGAGGGCAUUCCAGUAGCAGGAGACAGCAUGCAUAGAGAUGCUGAUGAAGAAAGAGCCUAGCGCACGUGGGAAACUGCAAAAGUUCAGACUGGUUGGAAUGCUGGAAAUGUUGUGAAUGACAGGAGAUGAGGCUGGCGAGAAAACAGAGGUCAGAUUGUGGAAGGCUGUCAAGCCAAAGACUUUGAUUUUAUUCUUGAGAUUGAUGAGAUGUGUGUAAUCCAGGAGUGUGCAAAACAAUCUGUAAGGGUUCAGAAAACAUACUGCUUCUAUAUAUAGUUACCUUUGUCUUAACUUGAAAAUUUCAAAUUGUGUAGGAGUUACAAUGUGUGUAAUUGUUAUUAUAGUACUGGAUCCAAAUAAUUUAUAAAUAAAUAAAUAUAGACAUAAUAUGGUGUAUUACAGGUUAAAUUGUGUACCUCAAAAAUUCAUGUUUAAGUUCUAACCCUCAUUAUCUCAAACUGUGACCUUAUUUGGAAAUACUAUCAUUGCAGAUGCAAUAGUUAAUGAGGUCAAGUUAAGAAGCAAUAGGAGGCCAGGCAUGGUGGCUCACACCUGUAAUCGCAGCACUCUGGGGAGGCCAAGGUGGGUGGAUCACCUGAAGUCAGGAGAUCAAGAGCAACCUGGGCAACAUGGUGAAACUCCGUCUCUACUAAAAAUACACAAAUUAGGCUGGGCUUGAUGUCUCACACCUGUAAUCCCAGCACUUUGGGAGGCCAAGGCGGGCGGAUCACCUGAGGUCAGGAGUUCGAGACCAGCCUGGCCAACAUAGUGAAACCCCAUCUCUACUAAAAAUACAAAAAUUAUUUUGUAUUUUGGUGGCGGACACCUGUAAGUAAUCCCAGCUACUCGGGAGGGUGAGGCAGGAGAAUCGCUUAAACCUGGGAGGUGGAGUUUGCAGUGAACCAAGAUCACACCACUGCACUCCAGCUUAGGAGACAGGGCUAGACUCUGUCUCAAACAAACAAGCAAACAAACAAAAGAAAGAAGAAAAGAAGGAGCGAAAAGGUGGGCCCCCAAUCCCUAAUCCAGUAUGACUAAUGUCCUUCCAAGAACAGAAAAUUUGAACAGAGACACACAAACGGGAAGAAUACCUAUGCCUUUUGAAGGUAAAGGCGGACAUUGGGGUAAUGCUUUUACAAGCCAAGGAACUCCGAAGGUAGCCAGCAAACUGUCAGAAGCUAGGCGAGGGUCCUGGGACAGAUUCUCCUCACAGCCCUCAGAAGGAAUCAGUCCCGCUGACACCUUGAUCUUGGACUUGUAGCCUCAGGAACUGUGAGGCAAAUGUCUGUUGUUUAAACUAUCCAGUUUGUGAUACUUUGUUACAGCAGCCCUAGCAAAUUGAGCUACUUGGUCAAAAACUUCAGGCAACACUGAUGAGAUGAUGUAAAGGCUUUAAAGAGUUGGUUUAUGUUUAAGAGUCCAAAUUAUCAACGUCCUAUCUUUACUCAGUCUCUGUAUUCAAGAAUUGACCUUAGGCCAGGUGCAGUAGUUCACGCCUGUAAUCCCAAUACUUUGGGAUGCCAAGGUAGGAGGAUUGCUUGAGGUCAGGAGUUUGAGAUCAGCCCUUGUAUAUUAGUUCGUUCUCAUGCUGCUGAUAAAGACAUACCCAAGACUGGGUAAUUUAUAAGGAAAAAGAGGUUUAAUGGACUCACGGUUCCAUGUGGCUGGAGAGGCCUCAAUCAUGGCGGAAGGUGAAAGGCAUGUCUUAGGUGGCGGCAGACAAAAGAGAAAUGAGAGCCAAGUGAGAAGGGAAACCCCUUAUAAAAUCAUCAGAUCUCGUGAGACUUAUUCACUACCAUGAGAACAGUAUGGGGAAAGCGUCCCCAUGAUUCAGUUCCCACCGGGUCCCUCCCACCACAUGUGGGAGUUCUGGGAGCUACAAUUGAAGAUGAGAUUUGAGUGGGGACAAAGCCAAACCAUAUCACCUUUUCUCUACUAAAAAUUAAAAUUAAUUAAAAAAUUAAGCUGGCAUGGUACUAUAUGUCUGUAGUCCUAGCUACUUGGGAUGCCGAGGUGGGAGGAUUGCUUGAGCCCACGAGGUUGAGGCUGCAGUGAGUCAUGAUCAUGCCACUGCACUCCAGCCUGGACAACAGAGCAAGGCCCUGAUGCAAAAAACAAAAAAUAAUAAUUUAACUUAAAGUGAUGUCUUGAUUGCAGUGUUUAUUCUACUUUUUAAAGCCAUUGUGGUGGGAAAACAAUUUGUUUACAUUUGUAGUACAGUUUAUGUUAAAGGUUGAAGAAAUUGGGAAAUAUUUUAUCUUUAACUCAAGACAGGAUGGUGAUAUGCAACAGUUAUAGGCAAAAAAUAUUUACAUUUAAGAAAAAAAGUAUCAUUUAAUCCCAUUAGGCAGAAGUGGAGUCAAAAGCAAAAAUAUGGCUGGUUAUGGAUGUAUGUUUCCCUUCCUGUUCAUAUGUUGAAACCUAAUUCCCAAUGUGAUGGGUUUUGGAGAUGGGGUCUUUGGGAGGUAAUAGGUCAUGAGAGUGGAACCCUCGUGGAUGGGAUUAGUGCCAUAUAAGAAGAGUCCAUAGAGCUAGCUCACUCCCUUUCUGCCAUGUGAGGAUACAAGAAGUCGGCCUGGAAAAGAGCCCUCACCAGAACCCUACAAUGGCACUCUGAUCUUGGACAUUCGGCCUCCGGAGCUGUGAGAAAUAAAUUGUCUUUAAGCUAUCCAGUUUAUGGUACUUUAUUACACCAGCCCAAACUGACUGAAGAUGGGGUCCUACCAAGCGAAAUCAUAGCUGUGAACAGUGUAAUAGUAUCUCAUCAGCAUGGGGAGGGCUAUAGGCAAAACAUGCACUAGUCUAGCUACUUAAUCUUCAAGUAUUAAGGACAACCUGUCCUUUUUAUACAAGUCAUACAUUAGACAUGUGCCUGAGAUUACAAAACACUGUGAUCGAGUUUUCAAGGCUAGGGAUACACCUCAAACUCAGAUGUACUUCUUUGGUGCCUAUUUGUAAGUCAGCAAAAUCCAGAACUCAGCAAUAUGUUAAUUAAUGUAUUAAUACAGAAAAUAUUUUUGUGCAUUAUAUUUUCUGCAUUUUAGAUAUUUGUGUGCCAUGGAAUAUUUGAUGAUUUUUGGCUUUAUUUAGGUUAAGUCAACCAAAGCAUUUUGAAAUGCUGCUUUUUUUUUAACACAUGUAUUUGUGGGUUUUUGUUUUGUUAUUGUUGUUGUUUGAGACAGGGUCUUAACUCUGUCAUGCAGGCUGAAGUGCAGUGUCACAAUCACGGCUCACCGCAGCCUCAACCUCCCGGGCUCGGGUGAUCCUCCCACGUCAGCCUCCUUAGCAGCUGGGAUUACAGGUGCCCACCACCACGCCCGUCUCCUUUUUGUAUUUUUAGUAGAGACGGAGUCUCACCAUGUUGCCCAGGCUGGUCUCAAACUCCUGGGCUCAAGUGAUCUGCCCUCCUCAACUUCCCAAAGUGCUAGGAUUACAGGUGUGAGCCACCACACCUGGCCUAAAUCCACAUGUAUUUGUAAUAGUUUUGCCAUUGUUUAGACAGGUAGUUUUAAGAUUUUUUAAAGUAAUAGAAGCCUUUCUUCAAAUUAAAUCUUAUGUGGAAGUCCAGUAUGCAGCAAUUAUGUUAGGUAGUCAUAGAGGACUGGCCAUUCGUAAAAAAAAAUAUACCCUUGUUUUAAAUCUUUGUUUCUUGAAUUUAGUCUUGAAGUUCCAUGUUUUAUGACUAUGUAUUCCAUGUUUAUUUUAUAGUGUGUUAGCAAAAUGAAAGGAAUGUACAUGGAUGGGGAUGAUAAAGAUGCUACUGACCUAUUAUUAUAGGGCCUGUGCUUGGAGUUGCUUUUCAGUAAUGGGAUUGGAUUUGUAAGAAUCUGUCCAUCAGGCUGGGUGCAGUGGCUGACGCCAGUAAUCCCAGCACUUUGGGAGGCCGAGGCUCAAGUAGCUCAAUUUGCUCAAAAAAAAAAAAAAAAAAAAAGAAUCCAUCUAUCGUCUGGCCGGGCACGAUGGCUCACGCCUGUAAUCCCAGCACUUUGGGAGACUGAGGCGGGCGGAUCACGAGGUCAAGAGAUCGAGACCAUCCUGGCCAACAUGGUCAAACCCCGUGUCUACUAAAAAUACAAAAAUUAGAUGGGCGUGGUGGUGGGCGCCUGUAAUCCAUCCCAGCUACUCAGGAGGCUGAGGCAGGAGAAUCACUUGAACCCGGGAGGCGGACCACUGCACUCCAGCAGAGUGAGACUCCCUCCCAAAAAAAAAGAAUCCAUCUAUCCUCUUUAAUUUAGUCCCCUUUGUGGCCACACAGCAGUCUGUGUCCUACACCCUCUUGGUCAAGAAUAUAAUGUCUACUACUCACAAAAAUAUAUUUCUCAGUAAGUGACUCCCCUUCCUCUCAUCAUUGUUCUUUUAGCAAUUUUUGUGCACUAUUCAUUUAACUAUAACUUUGCCACCUUUGGACUCUAAUAGACUCAAAAACCUGUUUGUCCAGUUUAGUGUAUGUUUGUUUUAUUCCCUCACCCAUGACUUCCAGUCAUAUUACUGUAAGCUGAUAUUUGGAACUACAUAUAUCUUUUGUAUGUUUAUUUUUUUAAUUUUUUUUGCAAGUUUCAGGAUCUAUAUUUUGUUGUUUGUUUGUUUGUUUGUUUGUUUUUGAGACAGAGUCUCAUUCUGUCACCCAGGUUGGAGUGCAGUGACACGAUCUCAGCUCACUGCAACCUCCGCCUCCUAGGUUCAAGCGAUUCUCCUGCCUCAGUCUCCCGAGUAGCUGGGAUUACAGGCACCCGCCACCACACCUGGCUAAUUUUUGUAUUUUUAGCGGAGAUAGGGUUUCACAUGUUGGCCACACUAGUCCCAAACUCCUGACUUCAGGUGAUCUACCUGCCUUGGCCUCCCAAAGCGCUGGGAUUACAGGCGUGAGCCACCGCGCCCAGCCUGUAUAUGUUUAAAUUGUCAUAAAAACUAACACCCUUUGGGAGGCCGAGGCAGGCAGAUCAUGAGGUCAGGAGAUCGAGACCAUCCUGGCUAACACAGUGAAACCCCAUCUCUACUAAAAAUAUUUUUUUAAAAAUUAGCCAGGCUUGGUGGCGGGCGCCUGUAGUCCCAACCCAGGAGGCUGAGGCAGGAGAAUGGCAUGAACCCAGGAGGCAGAGCUGGCAGUGAGCCAAUAUCACGCCACUGCACUCCAGCCUGGACGACAGAGAGAGACUCCAUCUCAAAAAAAAAAAAAAAAAAAGAAAAAAGAAAACCAACACCAUGUGGGGAUGUUGGGAAUAGCAGUUGAAUGUUUCAGAAUUAGGUUUUUUGUAUUUGUGGUAUUCUCAGAUGGCCCAUUUUUCCAAGAUCACGUUAUGUCAUGUGGCUAGUUUGACAGCCCAUAAGCCAUAGUUCAGGGACAUUUUUACCUUUUUCUAAAGGGUAUAUAUAAAAAGAUAUAAAGAACAAACUAUUCAGAUAGUUUGGUAUCAGUGAAUCAUUUCAAUAAAAAUAUACUCUGAGUCUUCCUUCUUUCAGCAAAUGUUUACUGAGCUCCUACUAUAUGCUAGCAGUCAUUAUGCUAAGUUUUAAGUAUACAGCAGCAAACUAACUGAACAUAAUCCAGGCCUCACGGGAUAGAGAAAUUACACCAAAAAAUUAUAUGCAUAAUACAUUCAUACAUGUAUAAAAUCUUCAUACCAAUUACAAAGGAAAUCAACAGGGCUCUACAGAGAGUUAAAGAAGCUACUCUAAAAAGAACAGAAAAGGAAUGAGAAGUGAAAGGAAUUCCAGCAUUCUAGCUGGGUGCCGUGGCAUGCACCUGUAGCCCCAGCUACUCAGGAGGCUGAGGCAGGAGGACCCCACGAUCCCAGGAGUUCAAGUCUAGCCUAGGCAACAUAGCGAGACUCUCAUCUCAAAAAAAAAAGAAAAAGAAAAAAACUGUGUUAUAGGCUGGGCACAGUGGUUCGCGCCUGUAAUCCCAGCACUUUGGGAGGCUGAGGCGGGUGGAUCACGAGGUCAGGAUUUCAGGACCAGCCUGGCCAAGAUGGUGAAACCCCAUCUCUACUAAAAAUACAGAAAAAUAGGCCGGGCACAGUGGCUCACCCCUGUAAUCCCAGCACUUUGGGAGGCCAAGGCGGGCGGAUCACGAGGUCAAGAGAUUGAAAACAUCCUGGUCAACAUGGCAAAACCCUGUCUCUACUAAAAAUACAAAAAUUAGCUGGGCAUGGUGGCACACACCUGUAGUCCCAGCUACUCAGGAGGCUGAGGCAGGAGAAUCACCAGGAGGUGGAGGUUGUAGUGAGCCGAGAUUGUGCCACUGCACUCCAGCCCGGGCGACAGAGUGAGACUUUGUCUUAAAAAAAAAAAAAAUGAGUAGGAUUUGGGGGAGGAAUGGCAGAGAAAUGACCUGGUUAUCUAUUGCCAAAGCAAAAGCAAAGCAAGGAAAAAUUGUUUUAAAAAUACUUUAAAGAACAAGUGGAGGCCAGGUGUAGUGGCCCAUGCCUAUAAUCCCAGAACUUUGAGAGGCGGAGUCGGGUGGAUCACCUGAGUUCAGGAGUUCGAGACCAGCCUGACCAACAUGACCAACAUGGUGAAUCCCUGUCUGUACUAAAAAUACAAAAAUUAGCUGAGCAUGGUGGCUAACACCUGUAGUCCCAGCUGCUCGGGAGGCUGAGGCACAAGAAUUGCUCGAACUCAAGAGGCAGAGGUUUCAGUGAGCCUAGAUCAUGCCACUGCACUUCACCCUGGGCAACAGAGUGAGACUCGGUCUAAAAAAAAAAAAAGAAAGUGGAAUUUGAAAGUAAAAGCAUAAUACCAUUUAUAUUAGCAUGCCCCCAAAAAUUAAAUACUUAGGUAUAAAUCUAAUAAAUGUGUACAAGAUCUGUAAGAGGAAAACUUUGAAAACCUGAUGAAAGAAAUCAAAGAACAAUUAAACAAAUAUUGAGGUAUUUCAUGUUUUUGUUUAGGAAAACUCGAUAUUGUCAUGAUGUUCUUCCCAACUUCAUCUAUAGAUUCAAUGCAGUCCUUUUCAAAAUGUCAGGAGAUCAUUCUGUAGAUAUAAACAAACCGAUUCUAAAGUUUAUAUGGGCCAGGCGAAGUGGCUCACACCUAUAGUCCCAGCACUUUGGGAGGCCAAGGCGGGCAUAUCACCUGUCAGGAGUUUGAGACCAGCCUGGCCAACAUGACAUGGUAAACCCCUGUCUCUACUAAAAAUACAAAGAUCAGCUGGGUAUGGUUGUGGGCGCCUGUAAUCCCAGCUACUCAGGAGGCUGAGGCAGGAGAAUCCCUUGAGCCCAGGAGGGAGAGGUUGAAGUGAGCCGAGAUCGUGCCACUGCACUCCAGCCUGGGUGAUGGAGCAAGAUUCUGUCUCACCAAAAAAUAAUAAUAAAGUAUAUAUGGAGGAGGGAAAAGACCAAGAAUGAGCAACGCAAUAUUGAAGGAGAAUAACAAAGUUAGAGGAUGGCACUACCCAACUUCAAGACUUACUGGCCAGGCGUGGUGGCUCACACCUAUAAUCCCAGCACUUUGGGAGGCUGAGGCGGGUGGAUUACCUGAGGUCAGGAGUUCGAGACCAGCCUGACCAACAUGGUGAAACCCCGUCUCUACUACAAAUACAAAAAUUAGCCAGGCAUGGUGGUGGGCGCCUGUAAUCCCAGCUAUUCCUCAGGAGGCUGAGGCAUGAAAAUUGCUUGAACCUGGGUGGUGGAGGUUGCAGUGAGCCGAGAUCUCGCCAUUGAACUCUAGCCUGGGCAACAGAGUGAGACUCCAUCUCAAAAAAAAAAAAAAAAAGACUACUGUAAAGCUACAGUAAGUGGAUGCCUGUAAUCCCAGCUGCUCUGCAGGCUGAGGCAGAGAAUUGCUUGAACCCGGUAGGCGGAGGUUGCAGUGAGCUGAGAUCGCACCACUGCACUCCAGCCUGGACAACAGAGUGAGUCUCUGUCUCAAAAAAAAAAAAUUGUCACAUGUCUAAAUAUAAAAUGCAAUGCAAAAGCAUGAAAACACCUAAAAGAUAAGACAGAAUUAAAUCCAGAUGACCUAUGGCUUCGCGGUGACUUUUUAGGUACAACACCAAAGGCAUGGUACAUGAAAGAAAGAACCAAUAAGUUGGACUUCCUUAAAAUUGAAAAUUUGUGCUCUGCAAAAGACACUGUCAAGUGGAUAAAAAGAGAAGCCACAGAUUGGGAGAAAAUAUUUGUAAGACAUAUCCGAUACAAGACUAUUAUCUAAAAUAGACAAAAAAUUCUUUGAGAGGGAGUCUCGCUCUGUCCCCCAGGCUGGAGAGCAGUGGCGCGAUCUCGCCUCACUGCAAGCUCUGCAUCCCAGGUUCAUGUCAUUCUCCUGCCUCAGCCUUCCGAGUAGCUGGGACUACAGGCACCCACACCACGCCCGACUAAUUUUUUUGUAUUUUUAGUAGAGACGGGGUUUCACCGUGUUAGCCAGGAUGGUCUCAAUCUCCUGACCUUGUGAUUCACCCGCCUCAGCCUCCCAAAGUGCUGGGAUUACAGGCGUGAGCCAACGCCCCCGGCUGACAAAGAAUCUUAAAACUCAUCAAUAAGAAAACACCCGAUUAAAAAAUGUACCAGGCUGUGCCUGGUGGCUCACGCCUGUAACCCCAGUACUUUGGGAGUCCGAGGCUGGUAUAUCACUGGAGCCCAGGAGUUUGAGACUAGCCUGGCCAACAUGGUGAAACCCCGUCUCUACUAAAAAUACAAAAAUUAGCCAAGCAUGGUGGCAUGCCACUGUAGUCACAGCUACUCACUCUGGAGGCUGAGGUGGGAGGAUCACUUGAGCCUGGGAGGCGGAGGCUGCAGUGAGCUGAGAAUGCACCACUGCACUCCAGCCUGGGCAACAGUGAGACCACUAUCUCAAAAAAAAAAAAAAAAAAAAAAAAAAAAAAAAAAAAGACCAAACACCUUGAUAGACAUCACACCGAAGAAGAUAUUCAGAUGAGAAAUAAGCAUAUGAAAAGAUGCUUCUUGUGCAGGAUCUGGAUUUUUUCUAAGAAAGAAAAAAAGAUGCUUCGCAUCAUAUGUCAUCAGUGAAAUGCAAACACAAUAAUACCAUACCUCAAAAAAAACUAUGAUGAGGAUGAUAUGUUUUUUAAAGACAGAAUCUCCUUCUGUUGCCAAGGCUGAAGUGCAGUAGUAUGAUCAUAGCUCACUGCAGUCUCAACCUCCUGGCAGUCCUCCACCUCGGCCUUGCAAAGUAUUGAGAUUACAGGUAUGAGUCACAGUGCCCAUCCUACACACCUAUUAGAAUGACCAAAAUCCAGAACACUGGCAACACCAAAUGCUGGAGAGGAUGUGUAGCAACAGGAACUCAUUCGUUGCUAGUGGGAAUGUAAGAUGGAAGACUACUUUGUAAGGCAGUUUGGCAGUUUAUUAAAAAACGAAACAGGCCAGGCACAGUGGCUCACGCCUGUAAUCCCACCGAGAUCACACCAGUGCACUCCAGCCUGAGUGACAGAGACUCCGUCUCAAAAAAAUAAAAAUAAAAAUAAAAUAAAAUAAAAUAAAAAAUGAAACAUACUCUUACCCCAUGAUCUAGCAAUCACACUCCUUGGUAUUUAACAAGGAAGCUUUGGCAUUUACAAAAGAAGUUGAAAGUUUAUGUCCACACAAAAGCCCACGUAUGGAUUUUGUUUGUUUUUGUUGUUUUUUGGUUUUUUGUUUGUUUUGAGACAGGGUCUCACUCUGUCACCCAGACUGAAGUGCAAUGGUGCAAUUAUAGCUCAUUGCAGCCUCAAACUCCAGGACUCAGGUGGUUCUCCUACCUCAGCCUCCCGAGUAGCUAGGACUAUAGGCAUGUGCCACCACACCAGGCUGGUAACUUCUAUUAGAUAUCCUCUUGGAGCUAUUGAGUUUUAAGUUGUAUGAAUGCAUUGCAUUACAUUUCAAAUUUAAAAUACAAUUUUAAAAAUAAGAAUGUUAACUAGAUAAUUAUGUAACAACUUAAAAACUUUGCUUACCAGAAUUUUAUUAAAAUGUUAUUUGGCUUUCGAUCAUUUAAAAAAUUCUUCAUUUCUUAAAGAUUUAUCUAAUUUCUCUACCAAGCAUACACAGUAAUAAUAGCAACAAGAAAAUUACCAUCAGGGAGACAUAAAAGCAGUAUAAUGAAGCUAGUUUAGCAAGAAGGGGUGCAAAUAAGAAACGAAUACUCAGAGGAUCUCAGCUUUUUAUUUAAAAAAAUUGAAAGAUUUUGAACAUGCAUAUUAGAUUUUAUUAAUUAAAUAUGUUACAGGACCAUUCUGGAGAGAAUUAUAUAUCUCAUGGCGGGGAUUCCUGGGGAAUCUUUAAUGAGGGAUAAACUCCAAGGGCCAGAGAAGCUGUUCACCACACUUUUUUUCCUACCCUUUCCCCCAAGCAAUCCCCUACUCACAGAGGAACUGCCCUUAUUCAGGAGCUGAAAGAGGAUACCAGAGCUCCUCUCUGUUCUAGCUAGCCUAGGUCCCAAAGAAGACCCCCCAAAUACACCGUUUUUUCUUAAAAACAUCCUUCACACUUGGUCUGAUGAUUUUUACUUGUUAAAUGCAAUCCGUUGGCCGGGCACAGUGGCUCACACCUGUAAUCCUAACACUUUGGGAUGCUGAGGCAGGUGGAUCACCUGGGGUCAG